CAUAGCCGGGGAAUACGUAGGGUGCGAGCGUUAAUCGGAAUUACUGGGCGUAAAGCGUGCGCAGGCGGUUUUGUAAGACAGGCGUGAAAUCCCCGGGCUCAACCUGGGAAUGGCGCUUGUGACUGCAAAGCUAGAGCGCGGCAGAGGGGGAUGGAAUUCCGCGUGUAGCAGUGAAAUGCGUAGAUAUGCGGAGGAACACCGAUGGCGAAGGCAAUCCCCUGGGCCUGCACUGACGCUCAUGCACGAAAGCGUGGGGAGCAAACAGGAUUAGAUACCCCAGUAGUCCCUGUCUCUUAUACAC
rnacentral:rRNA from 1 species